rnacentral:rRNA from 1 species
CUUGGUUCAGGAUAAACGGCUGGCGGCGUGCUUAACACAUGCAAGGUCGAACGGGGUGGUUCUCCCGAGGAUUGACGGUGCUUGCACCUGAUUGACUCAUUUGAAUCACUUAGUGGCGGACGGGUGAGUAACGCGUGGGAAACCUGCCCUAUACUGGGGGAUAGCAGUUGGAAACGACUGAUAAUACCGCAUAAGCGCACAGCAUCGCAUGAUGCAGUGUGAAAAACUCCGGUGGUAUAGGAUGGUCCCGCGUCUGAUUAGCUAAGUUGGUGAGGUAACGGCCCACCAAGGCGACGAUCAGUAGCCGGCCUGAGAGGGUGUACGGCCACAUUGGGACUGAGACACGGCCCAAACUCCUACGGGAGGCAGCAGUGGGGAAUAUUGGACAAUGGGGGCAACCCUGAUCCAGCCGACGCCGCGUGAACGAAGAAGUAUCUCGGUAUGUAAAGUUCUAUCAGCAGGGAAGAUAAUGACGGUACCUGACUAAGAAGCACCGGCUAAAUACGUGCCAGCAGCAGC